rnacentral:rRNA from 1 species
GACGAACGCUGGCGGCGUGCUUAACACAUGCAAGUCGAACGAUGAAGCCCAGCUUGCUGGGUGGAUUAGUGGCGAACGGGUGAGUAAUACGUGAGUAACCUGCCUUUAACUCUGGGAUAAGCCUUGGAAACGGGGUCUAAUACUGGAUACGACCAACCCUCGCAUGGGGUGUUGGUGGAAAGGGAUUUUGUACUGGUUUUAGAUGGGCUCACGGCCUAUCAGCUUGUUGGUGAGGUAACGGCUCACCAAGGCGACGACGGGUAGCCGGCCUGAGAGGGUGACCGGCCACACUGGGACUGAGACACGGCCCAGACUCCUACGGGAGGCAGCAGUGGGGAAUAUUGCACAAUGGGCGCAAGCCUGAUGCAGCGACGCCGCGUGAGGGAUGACGGCCUUCGGGUUGUAAACCUCCUUCAGCAGGGGAGAAGCGAAAGUGACGGUACCUGCAGAAGAAGCGCCGGCUAACUACGUGCCAGCAGCCGCGGUAAUACGUAGGGCGCGAGCGUUGUCCGGAAUUAUUGGGCGUAAAGAGCUUGUAGGCGGUUUGUCGCGUCUGCUGUGAAAGCCCGGGGCUUAACCCCGGGUUUGCAGUGGGUACGGGCAGACUAGAGUGCAGUAGGGGAGACUGGAAUUCCUGGUGUAGCGGUGAAAUGCGCAGAUAUCAGGAUGAACACCAAUGGCGAAGGCAGGUCUCUGGGCUGUAACUGACGCUGAGAAGCGAAAGCAUGGGGAGCAAACAGGAUUAGAUACCCUGGUAGUCCAUGCCGUAAACGUUGGGCACUAGGUGUGGGGAACAUUCCACGUUUUCCGCGCCGUAGCUAACGCAUUAAGUGCCCCGCCUGGGGAGUACGGCCGCAAGGCUAAAACUCAAAGAAAUUGACGGGGGCCCGCACAAGCGGCGGAGCAUGCGGACUAAUUCGAUGCAACGCGAAGAACCUUACCAAGGCUUGACAUAUACUAGACCGCCUCAGAGAUGGGGUUUCCCUUCGGGGCUGGUAUACAGGUGGUGCAUGGUUGUCGUCAGCUCGUGUCGUGAGAUGUUGGGUUAAGUCCCGCAACGAGCGCAACCCUCGUUCUAUGUUGCCAGCACGUAAUGGUGGGGACUCAUAGGAGACUGCCGGGGUUAACUCGGAGGAAGGUGGGGAUGACGUCAAAUCAUCAUGCCCCUUAUGUCUUGGGCUUCACGCAUGCUACAAUGGCCGAUACAAAGGGUUGCGAUACUGUGAGGUUGAGCUAAUCCCAAAAAGCCGGUCUCAGUUCGGAUUGGGGUCUGCAACUCGACCCCAUGAAGUCGGAGUCGCUAGUAAUCGCAGAUCAGCAACGCUGCGGUGAAUAAGUUCCCGGGCCU